UGCCCUAAUCCCUCCCAAAUCCCCUAAUUUCCAAAUCCUUCCCAAAUCCCCUAAUUCCCAAACCUCCUUGCUGAAUCCCGACCAUCUCUCAUCCAACGCCUCAACGUCGUCGCCACCUCCAGCUCCGUCACCGUCGUCUCUCAUCCAUCGCCUCCAGCUCUAUCACUGCCUCAACUCGUUUUCUGAAGAAAGGAGGAGGAAAUGGCUUUGUGCUUUCUGAAGAAAGGUGAUAAUGUGCAUUGGACAAGGACAGACACGGACCCAAUGGUCGUUAACACAACUAUUUAUUCAAAGAAAAGAAAGGAAAGAAACUAAGUAAUAUGAAAGAGACAAAAGACAUGGAAGGCUCAAAGACUGGCAAACAUGUCUUCAUACCUCUAGGUACUUUACUUAGAGGAAAGGUAAAAGGGUUUGUCAACUUCAAGGCCAACAUGUUCUUCUAAUAGAGGAUCAAAAGUCCCUAUCAAAAAGAAAAAUGAAAAAGGAGCUGCCAGACAAAAUAGGUGUGACUGCUUUAAAUUGAGACUGCCAGACAACUAGAAUAAGAUAAUGUUGAAGGAGAUGUUAUGAAUUAGAACUUUAAUUUCUUUCUUUUUUGCUCAAAAAUCAGAACCUGUAGGAUGAUGAGAAGUGCACAAUCGCAUAGGAUUAGGUGGAAAAGUGUUGUUGAAAUGUAAAAUUUGGUGGUAAAUGGGGUCUUGAACAAUAGUGGUGAAGAGAAAUAGUAAGAAUAACAGAAGAAAGAAAAUAAUGGGGUUUCUAGCCAUAACUAAAGAAGCUUUUGAUAACUUCAUAACAAAAAUUGUUUAUGUACCUAUAAUGGUUAACACCAUACAAGCUUUGCAUUUAAUUUCUUAUUAUUAAAAGAUGACAUCUUUAGAUUGAGUUAUUAUAUGUAUUUAACAUGAAAAUGCAUUAGAGCUUCUUACCAAUGGGAAUGCUAUUCUAAAGAUGCUUUUACUUUUGUCAGGUUAGUCACCAUCCAAUGAUUGUAGCAUGCCACAUUGUGAAGGUACAGGAUGGAAAUUCUAGGGAGAUAGCAAUCUUAAAAGCAAGUUUUGGGGUCGCUCAAUUCAACUUGAUCCUCUUGGUGUGUUAACCUUGGAAUUUGAUGAUGGACAAGUUUUCCAAUGGAGUAAGGUAUGGCCCAAAAGAACAAUGCAAAUUUGGCUCUGCAUCAUUAUAUUUUCAUUUUUCUCACCUAGUAUGAAGUUUGAGUUUCUCUUUUCAAGUAACGACUUCCAUAUACAAUCUAAUAUUAGGAAAACUGUACUGCGAUCACUAUGGCAUCAUGCAUAUACAGGGGAAUCGUAACUUCUCUUGUAAGCUAAAAUUCAAGGAACAAUCUAUCAUAGACCACAAUCCUCACCAGGUCAAUGAAAUAACAAGACUCUAAAGGAAGCAACUACUGUCUUGGAGUACAUGAACAAUUUUAUGACUAUAUAUAGUGUUUUGUUGUACAUUUUUUAAUAGUAUAUAUGAUUGUUAAAGUGUUUUUUUUAGUUGAACAUAUUUUUUGGUGUAAUUUGUUGAUAAUUAACACUUAUAUAUAUACUACUUUCGGUGUGUAAAUGCUAAUGGAUAAUGAUUACUUUAGUGU